rnacentral:rRNA from 1 species
CGAGAGCCUGACGGAGCAACGCCGCGUGCGGGAGGACGGCCUGUGGGUUGUAAACCGCUUUUCUCUGGGAAGAAGAUCUGACGGUACCUGAGGAAUCAGCAUCGGCUAACUCCGUGCCAGCAGCCGCGGUAAUACGGAGGAUGCAAGCGUUAUCCGGAAUUAUUGGGCGUAAAGCGUCCGCAGGCGGUCUUUCAAGUCUGCUGUUAAAGGCUGGGGCUUAACUCCGGACAGGCAGUGGAAACUGAUGAACUAGAGUACGGUAGGGGUAGAGGGAAUUCCCAGUGUAGCGGUGAAAUGCGUAGAUAUUGGGAAGAACACCAGUGGCGAAGGCGCUCUACUGGGCCGUAACUGACGCUGAGGGACGAAAGCUAGGGGAGCG